rnacentral:rRNA from 1 species
UCCUCCCUCUUUCUUCGUGCUUAACACAUGCAAGUCGAACGGUGAAGCGCCUUCCUUUUUGGUGGGUGUGGAUGAGUGGCGAACGGGUGAGUAACACGUGAGUAACCUGCCCCCUUCUUCUGGAUAACCGCAUGAAAGUGUGGCUAAUACGGGAUAUUCUGGGUCUGUCGCAUGAUGGGUCUGGGAAAGAUAUUGUUUCGGUGGGGGAUGGGCUCGCGGCCUAUCAGCUUGUUGGUGGGGUGAUGGCCUACCCAGGCGGUGACGGGUAGCCGGCCUGAGAGGGUGGACUGUCACACUGGGACUGAGACACGGCCCAGACUCCGACGGGAGGCAGCAGGGGGGAAUAUGGCACAAUGGGCGCAAGGCUGAUGCAGCGACGCCGCGUGAGGGAUGGAGGCCUUCGGGUUGUGAACCUCUUUCGCCAGUGAAGCAGGCCUGCCUCGUCUGUGGGUGGGUUGACGGUAGCUGGAUAAGAAGCGCCGGCUAACUACGUG